UGAGGAAUAUUGGACAAUGGAUGGAAAUCUGAUCCAGCCAUGCCGCGUGAAGGAAGAAGGUCCUAUGGAUUGUAAACUUCUUUUGUAUGGGAGCAAUAAGGCCUACGAGUAGGUUGAUGAGAGUACCAUACGAAUAAGCACCGGCUAACUCCGUGCCAGCAGCCGCGGUAAUACGGAGGGUGCAAGCGUUAUCCGGAUUUAUUGGGUUUAAAGGGUGCGUAGGCGGUUAUUUAAGUCAGUGGUGAAAGUUUUCGGCUCAACCGGAAAAUUGCCAUUGAUACUGGGUAGCUAGAAUAUGGUUGCUGUGAGUAGAAUGUGUGGUGUAGCGGUGAAAUGCAUAGAUAUCACACAGAAUACCGAUUGCGAAGGCAUCUCACAAAGCCAUCAUUGACGCUGAGGCACGAAAGUGUGGGGAUCAAACAG
rnacentral:rRNA from 1 species